AUUGAACGCUGGCGGCAGGCCUAACACAUGCAAGUCGAGCGUGAAAGUUCCUUCGGGAGCGAGUAGAGCGGCGGACGGGUGAGUAACGCGUAGGAAUCUGCCCAGUAGUGGGGGACAACUCGAGGAAACUCGAGCUAAUACCGCAUACGCCCUAAGGGGGAAAGCAGGGGAUCUUCGGACCUUGUGCUAUUGGAUGAGCCUGCGUCGGAUUAGCUAGUUGGUGGGGUAAUGGCCUACCAAGGCAACGAUCCGUAGCUGGUCUGAGAGGAUGAUCAGCCACACUGGGACUGAGACACGGCCCAGACUCCUACGGGAGGCAGCAGUGGGGAAUAUUGGACAAUGGGGGCAACCCUGAUCCAGCCAUGCCGCGUGUGUGAAGAAGGCCUUCGGGUUGUAAAGCACUUUCAGCAGGGAGGAAAAGCUAAUGGCUAAUAACCAUUAGCCCUGACGUUACCUGCAGAAGAAGCACCGGCAAACUCCGUGCCAGCAGCCGCGGUAAUACGGAGGGUGCGAGCGUUAAUCGGAAUUACUGGGCGUAAAGCGCGCGUAGGCGGUUUGAUUAGCUGGAUGUGAAAGCCCCGGGCUCAACCUGGGAAUUGCAUCCAGAACUGUCAGACUAGAGUACAGUAGAGGUGAGUGGAAUUUCCUGUGUAGCGGUGAAAUGCGUAGAUAUAGGAAGGAACAUCAGUGGCGAAGGCGGCUCACUGG
rnacentral:rRNA from 1 species